UUUUUGCUUCUUUUUUUUAUCUCUUU
rnacentral:sRNA from 1 species